rnacentral:rRNA from 1 species
GGGACACGUGGUAUCCUGUCUGAAUAUGGGGGGACCAUCCUCCAAGGCUAAAUACUCCUGACUGACCGAUAGUGAACCAGUACCGUGAGGGAAAGGCGAAAAGAACCCCGGCGAGGGGAGUGAAAAAGAACCUGAAACCGUGUACGUACAAGCAGUGGGAGCACGCUUAGGCGUGUGACUGCGUACCUUUUGUAUAAUGGGUCAGCGACUUAUAUUCUGUAGCAAGGUUAACCGAAUAGGGGAGCCGAAGGGAAACCGAGUCUUAACUGGGCGUUAAGUUGCAGGGUAUAGACCCGAAACCCGGUGAUCUAGCCAUGGGCAGGUUGAAGGUUGGGUAACACUAACUGGAGGACCGAACCGACUAAUGUUGAAAAAUUAGCGGAUGACUUGUGGCUGGGGGUGAAAGGCCAAUCAAACCGGGAGAUAGCUGGUUCUCCCCGAAAGCUAUUUAGGUAGCGCCUCGUGAAUUCAUCUCCGGGGGUAGAGCACUGUUUCGGCAAGGGGGUCAUCCCGACUUACCAACCCGAUGCAAACUGCGAAUACCGGAGAAUGUUAUCACGGGAGACACACGGCGGGUGCUAACGUCCGUCGUGAAGAGGGAAACAACCCAGACCGCCAGCUAAGGUCCCAAAGUCAUGGUUAAGUGGGAAACGAUGUGGGAAGGCCCAGACAGCCAGGAUGUUGGCUUAGAAGCAGCCAUCAUUUAAAGAAAGCGUAAUAGCUCACUGGUCGAGUCGGCCUGCGCGGAAGAUGUA